GUCUAAGUACAUACGGCCAGUACAGUGAAACUGCGAAUGGCUCAUUAAAAUCAUUUAUGGUCCCUUCGAUCGCUCCAACGUUAAUUGGAUAAAUGUGGCAAUUCUAGAGCUAAUACAUGCCAAUGAGCGCUGACCUCUGGGGAUGCAUGCAUUUUAAUAUUUUGAAAAUUUCCCUCCACUGCAUAUUGUAACCCCUUUUGCCUCGAUCUGGAGGAUAUUGUGGAG
rnacentral:ncRNA from 1 species